GAUGAACGCUGGCGGCGUGCCUAAUACAUGCAAGUCGAGCGAACAGAUGAGGAGCUUGCUCCUCUGACGUUAGCGGCGGACGGGUGAGUAACACGUGGAUAACCUACCUAUAAGACUGGGAUAACUUCGGGAAACCGGAGCUAAUACCGGAUAAUAUAUUGAACCGCAUGGUUCAAUAGUGAAAGACGGUUUUGCUGUCACUUAUAGAUGGAUCCGCGCCGCAUUAGCUAGUUGGUAAGGUAACGGCUUACCAAGGCAACGAUGCGUAGCCGACCUGAGAGGGGGAUCGGCCACACUGGAACUGAGACACGGUCCAGACUCCUACGGGAGGCAGCAGUAGGGAAUCUUCCGCAAUGGGCGAAAGCUUGACGGAGCAACGCCGCGUGAGUGAUGAAGGUCUUCGGAGCGUAAAACUCUGUUAUUAGGGAAGAACAAAUGUGUAAGUAACUAUGCACGUCUUGACGGUACCUAAUCAGAAAGCCACGGCUAACUACGUG
rnacentral:rRNA from 1 species